CCUCGAAGCCCGAGCUGCCGGCCGCCCGGAGCCGCGCGGGGAGCCCGGGGAGCUCGGGGAACAGCCACGACACGUUGGCCGAGAAACGGAGCGGAGCCAUGGCCGGCCGGGGACACGCGCGCAGGAGAGAGAGAGCACAAGCAGGGGGAGCAGCAGGCAGAGGGAGAGGGAGAAGAAGGCUCCCUGCUGAGGAAGCAGCCCGAUGUGGGGCUCGAUCCCAGGACCCUGGGAUCAUGACCUGAGCCGAAAGUAGACGCUCUACUGACUGAGCCACCCAGAUUGACAACAAAUUUUAAGUCAGACAUCAAAUAUUGGAUUGGAUUUGGAACAACAGGAACAUUUAUUCACUGCUGGUAGAAGUGUGUGAAUCACUACAAUCACUUUGGAAAACCAUCUGGCAGUAUCUCUGAAGGCUGAACAUCCAUAUACAAAGGAACUGUGGUUCCUUUCC